rnacentral:tRNA from 1 species
UCCCCGAAGGUCCACUGGUUAGGAUUUUGCACUUUCAAUGCAGGGGACCAGAGUUCAAUUCCUGGUUGGGGAA